GUAAUACCCUAGCUGUCUUUCCGAGCAAUCCCCUGGACAAUACCGUAAACACGGCUGAGUCUCACAUAUACACAUUAGGGUUUCCUCCCCCCAAUUGUAGAGGUCUCCAGGGUUUUAGGGUUUGAGAAGUACAAACCUCAAAGGCUCCACAACUAAGAAUUAGCUUCCCGCGUAUAUUCUGGUGAACAGUUUUGACAGAAUGUAUCUUCAGUUCUACAUAAACGAGAAGGGUGACAAAGUUUACACUACUAAGAAAUAAGGGUUGCAACUGCUGCAGUUCUGCUUGACGUGCUCGCUCUUGGGGUUACUGAUCUCUCUGAGAGAUGCCUUGAAUUCAAUUGGGGUGAUGAUUAUAACCUGCUUGCGCACAACUAACUAUAGACAAGCAGCGUGGUUUGCCAUUGGUUAUUAUUCAAGAUUUUUUACCCAUUGAUUAUGUAAGGUAUGGAGUACUGGGGCUCCAGGAGAGUUGCAGUUACAAACCCUGUCACUGUAUUAUCUAUUUAUCUUCACAGUUCCUUCGUAGGAUGUCUCCGAUGAAGAUUAGGUUU